UACGUAGGGUGCAAGCGUUAAUCGGAAUUACUGGGCGUAAAGCGUGCGCAGGCGGUUAUGCAAGACAGAGGGGAAAUCCCCGGGCUCAACCUGGGAACUGCCUUUGUGACUGCAUAGCUAGAGUACGGUAGAGGGGGAUGGAAUUCCGCGUGUAGCAGUGAAAUGCGUAGAUAUGCGGAGGAACACCGAUGGCGAAGGCAAUCCCCUGGACCUGUACUGACGCUCAUGCACGAAAGCGUGGGGAGCAAACAGG
rnacentral:rRNA from 1 species